rnacentral:rRNA from 3 species
AAAUUGAAGAGUUUGAUCAUGGCUCAGAUUGAACGCUGGCGGCAGGCCUAACACAUGCAAGUCGAGCGGUAGCACAGAGAGCUUGCUCUCGGGUGACGAGCGGCGGACGGGUGAGUAAUGUCUGGGAAACUGCCUGAUGGAGGGGGAUAACUACUGGAAACGGUAGCUAAUACCGCAUAACGUCGCAAGACCAAAGUGGGGGACCUUCGGGCCUCAUGCCAUCAGAUGUGCCCAGAUGGGAUUAGCUAGUAGGUGGGGUAACGGCUCACCUAGGCGACGAUCCCUAGCUGGUCUGAGAGGAUGACCAGCCACACUGGAACUGAGACACGGUCCAGACUCCUACGGGAGGCAGCAGUGGGGAAUAUUGCACAAUGGGCGCAAGCCUGAUGCAGCCAUGCCGCGUGUGUGAAGAAGGCCUUCGGGUUGUAAAGCACUUUCAGCGGGGAGGAAGGCGGUGAGGUUAAUAACCUCAUCGAUUGACGUUACCCGCAGAAGAAGCACCGGCUAACUCCGUGCCAGCAGCCGCGGUAAUACGGAGGGUGCAAGCGUUAAUCGGAAUUACUGGGCGUAAAGCGCACGCAGGCGGUCUGUCAAGUCGGAUGUGAAAUCCCCGGGCUCAACCUGGGAACUGCAUUCGAAACUGGCAGGCUAGAGUCUUGUAGAGGGGGGUAGAAUUCCAGGUGUAGCGGUGAAAUGCGUAGAGAUCUGGAGGAAUACCGGUGGCGAAGGCGGCCCCCUGGACAAAGACUGACGCUCAGGUGCGAAAGCGUGGGGAGCAAACAGGAUUAGAUACCCUGGUAGUCCACGCCGUAAACGAUGUCGAUUUGGAGGUUGUGCCCUUGAGGCGUGGCUUCCGGAGCUAACGCGUUAAAUCGACCGCCUGGGGAGUACGGCCGCAAGGUUAAAACUCAAAUGAAUUGACGGGGGCCCGCACAAGCGGUGGAGCAUGUGGUUUAAUUCGAUGCAACGCGAAGAACCUUACCUGGUCUUGACAUCCACAGAACUUUCCAGAGAUGGAUUGGUGCCUUCGGGAACUGUGAGACAGGUGCUGCAUGGCUGUCGUCAGCUCGUGUUGUGAAAUGUUGGGUUAAGUCCCGCAACGAGCGCAACCCUUAUCCUUUGUUGCCAGCGGUCCGGCCGGGAACUCAAAGGAGACUGCCAGUGAUAAACUGGAGGAAGGUGGGGAUGACGUCAAGUCAUCAUGGCCCUUACGACCAGGGCUACACACGUGCUACAAUGGCAUAUACAAAGAGAAGCGACCUCGCGAGAGCAAGCGGACCUCAUAAAGUAUGUCGUAGUCCGGAUUGGAGUCUGCAACUCGACUCCAUGAAGUCGGAAUCGCUAGUAAUCGUAGAUCAGAAUGCUACGGUGAAUACGUUCCCGGGCCUUGUACACACCGCCCGUCACACCAUGGGAGUGGGUUGCAAAAGAAGUAGGUAGCUUAACCUUCGGGAGGGCGCUUACCACUUUGUGAUUCAUGACUGGGGUGAAGUCGUAACAAGGUAACCGUAGGGGAACCUGCGGUUGGAUCACCUCCUUACCUUAAAGAA